rnacentral:rRNA from 1 species
AGAGUUUGAUCCUGGCUCAGAACGAACGCUGGCGGCGUGGAUAAGACAUGCAAGUCGAGCGGGAACUUUUUUGGUAGCAAUACUAGAAAAGUUCUAGCGGCGAACGGGUGCGUAACACGUGGACAAUCUGCCUUAAAGUGGGGGAUAGCUCGGCGAAAGCCGAAUUAAUACCGCAUGUGAUGAGGGAAGACAUCUUUCCGAAAUCAAAGCCGGGGCAACCUGGCGCUUUUUGAGGGGUCCGCGGCCUAUCAGCUAGUUGGUGAGGUAACGGCUCACCAAGGCUAUGACGGGUAGCUGGUCUGAGAGGACGACCAGUCACACUGGAACUGAGACACGGUCCAGACACCUACGGGUGGCAGCAGUCGAGAAUUUUUGACAAUGGGGGAAACCCUGAUCGAGCGACGCCGCGUGGAGGAUGAAGGUCUUCGGGUUGUAAACUCCUGUCAUUUGAGAACAAAUUGGACGCAGUAACUACGCGUCCACUGAUAGUAUCAGAAGAGGAAGGGACGGCUAACUCUGUGCCAGCAGCCGCGGUAAUACAGAGGUCUCAAGCGUUGUUCGGAUUCAUUGGGCGUAAAGGGUGUGUAGGUGGCGCCGUAAGUCGGGUGUGAAAUCUCGGGGCUUAACUCCGAAACUGCAUUCGAUACUGCGGUGCUUGAGGACUGGAGAGGAGACUGGAAUUCAUGGUGUAGCAGUGAAAUGCGUAGAGAUCAUGAGGAAGACCAGUGGCGAAGGCGGGUCUCUGGACAGUUCCUGACACUGAGACACGAAGGCCAGGGGAGCAAACGGGAUUAGAUACCCCGGUAGUCC